rnacentral:rRNA from 1 species
UACCAGCUCUCCGAGUGGUAGGGAUGAUUAUUGGGCUUAAAGCGUCCGUAGCCGGCUUAGCAAGUCUCCUGUUAAACUCAGCGACCUAAUCGUUGAAUCGCGGGAGAUACUACUAGGCUAGGAGGCGGGAGAGGUCGACGGUACUUCUGGGGUAGGGGUGAAAUCCUAUAAUCCCGGGAGGACCACCAGUGGCGAAGGCUGUCGACUAGAACGCGCUCGACGGUGAGGGACGAAAGCUGGGGUAGCGAACCGGAUUAGAUACCCGGGUAGUCCCAGCUGUAAACGAUGCGGGCUAGGUGUUGGGAUGGCUACGGGCCAUUUCAGUGCCGCAGGGAAGCCAUUAAGCCCGCCGCCUGGGGAGUACGGCCGCAAGGCUGAAACUUAAAGGAAUUGGGCGGGGGAGCGACCACAAGGCGUGAAGCUUGCGGUUC